UACGAAGGGGGCUAGCGUUGUUCGGAAUUACUGGGCGUAAAGGGCGCGUAGGCGGUACUUCAAGUCAGGCGUGAAAGCCCCGGGCUCAACCUGGGAACCGCGCUUGAGACUGGAGAACUAGAGUUCGGGAGAGGAUGGUGGAAUUCCCAGUGUAGAGGUGAAAUUCGUAGAUAUUGGGAAGAACACCGAUGGCGAAGGCAGCCAUCUGGACCGACACUGACGCUGAGGCCGCGAAAGCGUGGGGAGCAAACAGG
rnacentral:rRNA from 1 species